UAUUUUUGGUUCAGACCCCGUGCAGAGAUGAGCCCAAGGAUCAUGCCCGUAGAUGUUCCAGCAAGAGCCGAGUUGCUACAAAGUGUUGCUAAACUCACCUCCUCAAGAGGCACGUAGCUGUGCACCAGCACCUGAUCAUCAGAGAAAGGAAGCAACCCACCUCAGCUCGUGCAGCUGAUCUGCAGGUCCAGUCCAGGUACGGGCAACAUUCCCUAGAGCGGACACUGCAUCAGCAUGGGGCCCAGAGUGAGAAAGAUCUUGGAACAGAGCCCCAAGCCCAUCUGCAAUGGAUACAUAGCAUGAGAAACAAACUUCCUGUGACUUUAGCCCACUGAGAAUUUCAGGAUUAUUUGUUACCUCAACCUCACCCGACGUAUCCAGUCUGCUACAGAGGAUCAGAGAAUUGUGAUAAGUUCAUUAAAGCAUAUUACAGACUAUGAGAGGGAGUGACACUGGGCUCAUACUGGCUAUAGACAACAAGGACGGAUGAUCCGCAGCAUGUCCCACUCUUGCCACAGGCUGAGGAGCACAAGGGAAUAGAAUGGGCCGGAGAUCAUCUGAGGCACUGCCUCUGGUUGGUGGUGCUGAUGGGUGGGGUCAUGUCAGCAUACAGAUCAUGCUCGUCACCACUGGUGGUUCGCAGCCUAAUUCUUUUAGGGCAUGACAUAGCAUGGAACUCAGCUGGGGGCAAGAGGAAAGGUUAGUGGAAGUUCUGCUUUCUUACAUCUUUAAAAAUGGAAUGCUUUUCAUCCCAAAGGGCCCUCUCAGGCCUGAUUCAUAGAAACAAGGAGCCAUGGCCUGAAAUUACCUUACUAUAAAAAAAAAAAAAAAUUACCUUACUAUGCUUCAGGCCCGGAGGAGCUUACCGUAUGGCAAGUGUGCUUCCAAGUUAAGGAGGAUGGGAAGAGAGAACAUGUUUAUUAAGCACAUAUUAUGUGCCCGGCAUCGUACCACGCUUUCUGUUGACACAUUAGCUUUGAACCUUAAUACCAACACUCCGAUCCCUAGGAAGAUGAGUCUCAAAGCAGUUGAACACUUGUCAAAGGUCUUAUCCAGGAAACGAUCAAGCAGGAUCCAGAGCCAUGUCUGGCUGACUCUAACACCUGAGCUUUUGCCGUGAUCCCAUUCCUCCUCCCCCAGGACUUGUUUUGUUGGGGCUAAAAAGUGAGGAUACCAAAAUGGAAAUUUAGGUCUUUAGGGAGAUUGCUGGAGAAAUUAAUUCAUUAACACACCGCACUCCUGGGCAUUGUUUUAAUUCAGACCCUCGGGGUUAGAAUUUGCCUCCAACGAAUUGAAUGCUGACUGUGGAGGAUGGCACUGGAGAGGGUUUCCAGAUGUUGCAGAGAAACUACUGGCAAAUUGAAAUGUCAUAAUGAGGAUGACGAAUCUGUCCACGAUGUCACGGGGGUUCUGCUGCCCUGCGCACGUGAAGCUGUUUUCUGGGACCUCUGUGGACCUCGAGGGCUGAUGCCCACCCAGUCAGAGGUAAGACCUAUGGUCUUCUUGACCAGGGGACUCUGUGGGGUGGUGGUACUCAGCACAGAAGGGACCAGACUAAACUGUACUCACUCAUAAAGAUAAUCACACACACUUCUGCUAGACAUCUUGGACAGAGUGCCAGCGAGAAUUCUUCAGGGUCAGGUUUGCUCCACCAAGUGUUGCCUGAUUUAAAAAUAAUAAUAAAAUUGACGGGGAGGAGAAGGGCCUGCUGAUCCUGAGUUCGCCUGUGAGGCCAGUGAAGUCCUUGAAACAGAAUAACAACAACAACAACGCAUGGACUCUUAUGCCUGGAGCCUCUGAGUGGCUUCUGGCUUCUCAGUAAUUAUGUAAAUGCUCCUCCGUUCAGUUGGGGGCUGAGAGAGAGACACCAACAACCACAAACAGAAACCUUUUGGAAGAGCCUAAAGAUUUAGCCAUGGCACGUCUCCCAUUUUCCAUCUUUUAUUUAACUCCUUUGAACUCCCACUGAUUUCCAGGCAACGCUUUGGAAUUCCAUUUUUAGCGCUGCCUUUUGAAUUAUUAUUUUUUUCCCCCCGUGGCGUACAAAUCUGCUACGGAGACGGCCUCCCUUUAUCAUUAAAAAAUUUUUUUUUCUUCA